rnacentral:lncRNA from 1 species
GAAAUGGCUGUUUUUCCAAUGAAAGCCUAUUCACCAUUUAAAGGGAUAGGACCCAGAUUCCGUUCCCUAUGGCUUCCACUAGUUGUGAACAGUCUUUAGACAUUGUUUCAGGCUUUUAUUCUGAAAAAUGAGGGAGAAUGACAACUUUGAGUGAGUGGAUAGUGGGAUGUCCCCAGAGAUGUUUUCUGCGCACGACUGAGAGCGCACCUUUCUUGUUUUUCUUUUAUAUUCACGACGCUAUUGUCCGGUUGAAAUAUUAUCGAUUAUUUAGGCUAAAAACAACCUGAGAAUUGAUUAUAAACAUCGUUUGACAUGUUUCUAUGAACUUUACAGAUACUAUUUGGAAUUUUCGUCUGCCUGUUGUGAACGCAUUUGAGCCAUUGGAUUACUGAACAAAACGCGCCAACAGAGUGGAGUUUUUUGGAUAUAAAGAGGGACUUUAUCGAACAAAACAAACAUUUAUUGUGUAACUGGGAGUCUUGUGAGUGCAACCAUACGAAGAUCAAAGGACCUGAGCCCUAGAACCAUGCCUCAGGACUAUCUGGCCUGAUGACUCUUUGCUGGCCCCAGUCCACCUGGCCGUGCUGUUGCUCCAGUUUCAACUGUUCUGCCUGCGGCUAUGGAACCCUGACCUGUUCACCGGACGUGCAACCUGUCCCAGACCUGCUGUUUUCAACUCUCUAGAGAUAGCAGGAGCGGUAGAGAUACUCUGAAUGAUCGGCUAUGAAAAGCCAACUGACAUUUACUCCUGAGGUGCUGACCUGUUGCACCCUCGACAACCACUGUGAUUAUUAUUAUUUAACCCUGCUGGUCAUCUAUGAACAUUUGAACAGCUUGGCCAUGUUCUGUUAUAAUCUCCACCCGGCACAGGACUGGCCACCACUCAUAGCCUGGUUCCUCUCUAGGUUUCUUCCUAGGUUUUGGCCUUUCUAGGGAGUUUUUCCUAGCCACCGUGCUUCUACACCUGCAUUGCUUGCUGUUUGGAGUUUUAGGCUGGGUUUCUGUACAGCACUUUGUGACAUCAGCUGAUGUAAGAAGGGCUUUAUAAAUACAUUUUAUUGAUUGAUUGAUUGUCAGACACCUGACAAUCUAGAUGCCUGAUACGUCAAACAGAGAAAGGAUACUGGUUGUAUAAUUGCACUGGGUUUCUGCAGUCGAGCUCUGUUAAAAGUUAUAUACACUACCCAGUUUUUCUACCAUGGAUAAGAGUAGAGUAUGGUGGGGAUUCCAAACUACAGAGGUAUUGAAGAAAAUGUUAAACAGAUUAAAGAGACAGUAGAAAAGGUUGUAGAAGGAUUAAAAGUAUGUUGGGAGUGGUUAAGGGAGAUGCUGCUAGAAUGGGACAGAAUGCUUCUAACCAUAGUGGAUGCACUAGCUGGAUUGUUAAUAGUGUUAAUGUUUGGAAAGUUUUUGUAAGUGCAGCAAUAAACAGGAUGUGCGCCUGGAAACAAGAUAAAGUAUUGUUGCUAAGAAAGGUUUGAAAAUAGUAGAAGAUAAGGAUGAAUAUGUGUAUCUUACAUUCAAAACAACCAUCUUUAAAAGGAGUUAAAGGACCAUGUGUGAAGAAAAACAAAUGGCAUGUAGAUAGAGAGGAGUUGUUUUGAAUGGGUAAGGAAUAAUGGCAUGUACAAUAUAAAAAAAGAGAGUGAAGAAUAGCUAAAAAAAAAAUUAUGUUAGGCAACUGCUGAUUUGGCAAAUAUUAGAUAUGGCAAUAAUAUGGUGUUAUGAAGGGAGAUGGAUCUUGUACGUGCUGGCCAUAACAAUGGUUGGGUAUGGGUACUAUGGGAUGUCUGGCUACAGAAGGAGGAAAAUUCCUGAGAAGGGGUUGGGAAGUCUGUAUCAUCCUAUUGAUUCUCUGGACCAUGAGGUGGGGAGUACUUGUGGUCAUGGUGAUUUAUCCUCGUGUGUUCAAACUACUUAAUACUAAUGUGGAUGAUGUUCUAUGGAACUGUAUUCACAAACAGCCCCAGACAGCGAGGAAACCCUGGUGCCCUACCCAGACAGACUGGAUCCAUCCCAUUGUCACCAAUUCCAUAAAUAUGUAGGGGGGUUUAGGGUUGCAGUGAUUCUAGGGGGAAUUGUGGCUGUGUGCUGACAAUGUUAUGAAGAAUAACGUAACUACAGAGCACUAGUCAGAGCAAGUACUCCAGGAUGCAUGGUAAAGGACCCACAAUUGACAGUGACAGGAGUAAACGGGGAAGUAAUAUUUAAGGGCAAAUAUUGGAUGGUGGGAGGAUUUAAAAUUUGAAUAGGGGGCGAAGAAGAAAAAAAGCCAACCAACACCAAUGCAGCAAAGGUGUGGGGAAAUUACUGGAAAGCUUAAACUAAUAACACACAAAUUAUUGAAUUUUUCUUGUCUAUAUUGAAUACAUCAUUUAACAAGAAGCAUUGCCUGAUGUGAACCAUGCCUCGAACAAAAGAGAUGUCAGAAGACCUAAGGGCUUGUAAGUAAGCAUUUCACAGUAAGGUCUAAAGAUUGUAUUCGGCGCAUGUGACAAUAAAGUUGGAUUUGGAUUUGAUUUACAGUACAAGCCUGGGGACAUGUACAGUGGCAAGAAAAAGUAUGUGAACCCUUUGGAAAUACCUGCAUUUCUGCAUAAAUUGAUCAUAAAAUUUGAUCUGAUCUUCAUCUAGUUCACACAAACACAGUCUGCUUAAACUAAUAACACACAACAAUUAUACAUUUUCAUGUCUUUAUUGAACACCCCGUGUAAACAUUCAAAGUGCAGGGUGGAAAAAGUAUGUGAAACUUUGGAUUUAAUAACUGGUUGACCCUCCUUUGGCAGCAAUAACCUCAUCCUGUCACGUUCGUCGUAGGAAGGAGACCA